UCGAGAAUUUUUCACAAUGGGCGAAAGCCUGAUGGAGCGACGCCGCGUGGGGGAUGAAUGGCUUCGGCCCGUAAACCCCUGUCAUUCGCGAGCAAUGCCUUCCCGAUAAUACCGGGACGGUUGAUCGUAGCGAAAGAGGAAGGGACGGCUAACUCUGUGCCAGCAGCCGCGGUAAUACAGAGGUCCCAAGCGUUGUUCGGAUUCACUGGGCGUAAAGGGUGCGUAGGUGGUGAGGUAAGUUCGAUGUGAAAUCUCCGGGCUCAACCCGGAAAAGGCAUUGAAUACUAUCUUGCUCGAGGUUUGGAGGGGGGACUGGAAUUCUCGGUGUAGCAGUGAAAUGCGUAGAUAUCGAGAGGAACACCGGUGGCGAAGGCGAGUCCCUGGACAACACCUGACACUGAGGCACGAAAGCUAGGGGAGCAAACAG
rnacentral:rRNA from 1 species